CUUACUUUUGGUUUGCUAGACGUCUCUUCCUGCCCGCGCUGGUCUAUCUUUCAAGCUCAGUCCCUGUAUGUAUAUAACGAAGAUGAGCCUGGUGUGGUGGAGGUUUCUGAGGAGCCAGGUCCUAUUUCAAAGACCYUCCAURAUGCCCAAACACAGCGGUCAGACCCAGCAAUGGAGGACCACAMCUACUCCAAAGGACCUAUCAUUACAUGUGGCAUGACGACUGCACCAGCCCGAGAGGUCMCCGUUUGUUACAAAUGUUACAUUGAAAGAUGCAGACUGUUUGCUGAACACAGGGAUUCCACUACUAGAAUUCAACACUCGUGUCUUGCUUACAAGUUUUUGCCCCCACAUCAUCAACGAURCCAGUUGUAGACCAAAUUCUGUUGACACUAAUGAAACUUAGACAGAACUUUGUUGUAGCUGAUUAAGCAAGACUCUUCAAAAGGUCACCCGGUCAGUUCUGUAAAAUCAUGAAAUUCUGGAUAGAUGUCAUUGCUAAGCACACAAAGGAUAUCAUUCCAUGGCUGCCUUGUGAGACAAAGGCUACUAAGCCACAAGUUUUUCAGGAACAUGACUGCGCAGAAAGUGUUUUGCAGAAGGCUUAAAAUCUGGACUCAAGAACUGAAUCUUAGUCACUACUAUAACAUGMGCUGAGAGUCAGAAAGCAAGUUCAGGGGGGGAGUGUUUGAAUAAAAUAAACAGACCAUAAUGCAAACCAAGAACAACACACAGACAAGAAACAGAAACAAUGACAGCUGGUGAAGAAACCAAAUGGAUUGACAUAUAUAGGGCAGGUAAUCAAGGAAGUGAUGGAGUCCAGGUGAUUCUGACGACGCGCAUGUGCGCCUAACGAUGGUGACAGGUGUGCGCCAUAACGAGCGGCCUGGUGACCUAGAGGGAGGGAGCACACAUGGCAACUACUAUGCCAGUAAUGCUGUAAAAUAUAUUGUUGCAACUGCUCCAUCAGGAAUGGUUGUGUUCAUUUUAGAGGCUUAUGGUGGGAAAUGUAGCGAUAGGUUCAUAACACAGAACUCAGGGUUUCUCGACCAUUUGCGUGCUGGAGAUGAGGUGAUGGGGGACCGUGGCUUCACAAUUAGGGACUUGCUAGAGGAACGUAAUGUACGCUUGGUCUUACAARCAUUUACACGGAAGCAAUGCCAGUUGACAAAUGAGCAGGUUACUCGCGCACGACGCAUUGUUAAUGUCCGAAAUUCAAGUGCAACGAGCAAUAAGGCGUCUUACGGUGUACAAGAUUCUCUCACAAACUGUGCCUAUUAGUUUGGUCCCUAAAUUUGCCAACAUACUUAAAAUUUGUGCAGCUCUUGUAAAUCUGAGAGGAGAGCUUAUUUCUAGCAAAUAGACACAAUGUCUAACACAAUCAACAUGACAAACAUGCACUGAUCAUUUAUGUAUUACAAAAAUGUACAUCACUUUAUUCCUAUUAAUGAACUGCAAAGUAUCAGCAUUUGUAACAUUCUCUUAUUCCAACUGUUASCUGUAUUUGUUUUAUAUCAUUGUUUUGUCAGCUCACACAACUGCCUGUACCAACUUGCCUAUAUUAACUGGUUCUGUCCUAUGAAAAAUAAACUGGUGAGAGAUCAUUA